GAUGAACGCUAGCGGCAGGCUUAACACAUGCAAGUCGAGGGGUAUUGGUUUUCGGACCAAGAGACCGGCGCACGGGUGCGUAACGCGUAUGCAAUCUACCUUUUGCAGAGGGAUAGCCCCAGAGAAAUUUGGAUUAAUACCUCAUAGUAUAGUACUUUGGCAUCAAGGAACUAUUAAAGUCACAACGGCAAAAGAUGAGCAUGCGUCCCAUUAGUUAGUUGGUAAGGUAACGGCUUACCAAGACAAUGAUGGGUAGGGGUCCUGAGAGGGAGAUCCCCCACACUGGUACUGAGACACGGACCAGACUCCUACGGGAGGCAGCAGUGAGGAAUAUUGGACAAUGGGCGCAAGCCUGAUCCAGCCAUGCCGCGUGCAGGAUGACGGUCCUAUGGAUUGUAAACUGCUUUUGUACAGGAAGAAACACUACUUCGUGGAAGUAGCUUGACGGUACUGUAAGAAUAAGGAUCGGCUAACUCCGUGCCAGCAGCCG
rnacentral:rRNA from 1 species